rnacentral:rRNA from 1 species
CAGCCGCCACGGUAAUACAGAGGGUGCGAGCGUUAAUCGGAUUUACUGGGCGUAAAGCGUGCGUAGGCGGCUUCUUAAGUCGGAUGUGAAAUCCCUGAGCUUAACUUAGGAAUUGCAUUCGAUACUGGGAAGCUAGAGUAUGGGAGAGGAUGGUAGAAUUCCAGGUGUAGCGGUGAAAUGCGUAGAGAUCUGGAGGAAUACCGAUGGCGAAGGCAGCCAUCUGGCCUAAUACUGACGCUGAGGUACGAACGCAUGGGGAGCAAACAGGAUUAGAUACCCCCGUAGUCCCUGUCUCUUAUAC